rnacentral:rRNA from 1 species
AUUGAACGCUGGCGGCAGGCUUAACACAUGCAAGUCGAGCGAGCGGCGGACGGGUGAGACAUGUCUGGGAUACUGCCUGAUGGUGGGGGUUAACUACUGGAAACGGUAGCUAAUCCCGCAUACCAUCAGAUGUGCCCAGAUGGGAUUAGCUAGGAUGUGGGGUAAUGGCUCACCUAGGCGACGAUCCCUAGCUGGUCUGAGAGGAUGACCGGCCACACGGGAACGGAGACACGGUCCAGACGCCUACGAGAGGCAGCAGUGGGGAAUAUUGCACAGUGGGCGCGAGCCUGAUGCAACGAUGCGACGUGUGUGAAGGAGGCGUUCGGGUUGUGAAGCAGUUUCAGCGAGGAGGCGUUACUCGCAGAAGAAGCACCGGCUAACUCCGUGCCAGCCGCCGCGGUAAUUC